ACGGGAGGCAGCAGUGGGGAAUAUUGCACAAUGGGCGCAAGCCUGAUGCAGCGACGCUGCGUGAGCGAAGAAGUAUUUCGGUAUGUAAAGCUCUAUCAGCAGGGAAGAAAAUGACGGUACCGACUAAGAAGCCCCGGCUAACUACGUGCCAGCAGCCGCGGUAAUACGUAGGGGGCAAGCGUUAUCCGGAUUUAUUGGGUUUAAAGGGUGCGUAGGCUGUGCAGCAAGUCAGCGGUGAAAGCCCGGGGCCUAACUCCGGAACUGCCGUUGAUACUGUUGUGCUGGAAUACGGAUGCCGUGGGAGGAAUGAGUAGUGUAGCGGUGAAAUGCAUAGAUAUUACUCAGAACACCGAUUGCGAAGGCAUCUCACGAAUCCGUUAUUGACGCUGAGGCACGAAAGCGUGGGGAUCAAACAGGAUUAGAUACCCUGGUA
rnacentral:rRNA from 1 species